rnacentral:sRNA from 1 species
ACUUCCUAGCCAUGUGAACUUGGGGCAAUUACUUCAUCUCUUUCUGCCUCAGCUUUCUGUCUAUAAAGUGGACCUAAUAGUAAUUGCCUACCUUAUAGUUGAGUUGUUUUCUGAGUGCAUGUGCUUAGUAGCUAGGCACCCUCAAUAAAUGUUUUAUUAAUGCUCAGUCAGCAAUGGGUGAUGUUAUUGUUAAUAUUGUCAUUAUCGAGUUCCCAAAAGUCGACGAGGAGAAAUUUGGCAGUUUCUGGCUUUACAGUACCGACUCAGACACAGAUUGCCUAAUAAACAACAGCCUCCUGACAUAUCCUAUAAGGAACUUUUGAAGCAGCUCACUGCUCAGCAGCAUGCGAUUCUCGUGGAUUUAGGAAGGACGUUUCCUACUCACCCUUACUUUUCAGUACAGCUUGGGCCAGGACAGCUGUCACUGUUUAACCUCCUGAAAGCCUAUUCUUUGCUGGACAAAGAAGUGGGAUACUGUCAGGGGAUCAGCUUUGUGGCUGGAGUCCUGCUUCUGCACAUGAGUGAAGAGCAAGCCUUUGAAAUGCUGAAAUUCCUCAUGUAUGACCUCGGCUUCCGCAAGCAGUACAGACCUGACAUGAUGUCGCUGCAGAUUCAAAUGUACCAGCUGUCCAGGCUCCUUCAUGACUAUCACAGAGAUCUCUACAGUCACCUUGAAGAAAAUGAAAUCAGCCCCAGUCUUUAUGCUGCCCCCUGGUUCCUCACAUUGUUUGCCUCUCAGUUUUCAUUAGGAUUUGUAGC